CUGCUAAAGUUAAAGGGAGAGCUACCUUCCAACGUGCCGAUCUGGCACCCGUGGGUGAUCAGGCCACGCUUCCACCCAAAACGGAGUGGGCUACUUUCCCG